AUUGAACGCUGGCGGCAGGCCUAACACAUGCAAGUCGAGCGGAUGAGAAGAGCUUGCUCUUCGAUUCAGCGGCGGACGGGUGAGUAAUGCCUAGGAAUCUGCCUGGUAGUGGGGGACAACGUUUCGAAAGGAACGCUAAUACCGCAUACGUCCUACGGGAGAAAGCAGGGGACCUUCGGGCCUUGCGCUAUCAGAUGAGCCUAGGUCGGAUUAGCUAGUUGGUGAGGUAAUGGCUCACCAAGGCGACGAUCCGUAACUGGUCUGAGAGGAUGAUCAGUCACACUGGAACUGAGACACGGUCCAGACUCCUACGGGAGGCAGCAGUGGGGAAUAUUGGACAACGGGCGAAAGCCUGAUCCAGCCAUGCCGCGUGUGUGAAGAAGGUCUUCGGAUUGUAAAGCACUUUAAGUUGGGAGGAAGGGCAGUAAGUAAAUACCUUGCUGUUUUGACGUUACCGACAGAAUAAGCACCGGCUAACUCUGUGCCAGCCGCCGCCGUAACAC
rnacentral:rRNA from 1 species